UUCCCAAGCCUUGACAUCCCUGAAACCGGUGUAGAGAUACACCUUCUUUUGGGAGCAGAGGUCACAGGUGGUGCAUGGUUGUCGUCAGCUGGUGUCGUGAGAUGUGGGGUAAAGUCCCGAAAGGAGCGCACCCCCUUUUUUUGGUACCCAUCAUUCAGGUGGGCACUUUAGGGAGACCGCCGGGGAUAACACGGAGGAAGGUGGGGAUGACGUCAAAUCAUCAUGCCCCUUAUGUCCUGGGCUACACACGUGCUACAAUGGGUGGUAACAAAGUGACGCAAAACGGCGAGGUGGAGCAAAUCCCAAAAACCCAGUCCCAGUUCGGAUUGUAGUCUGCAACUCGACUACAUGAAGCGGAAUCGCUAGUAAUCGCGAAUCAG
rnacentral:rRNA from 1 species